GUGGCCACCAUAGUCUUGGCAUUAAUGAUGGGAAUAAAUGUUUAUAUAGUAUUUUAAGUUUUAUUUAUAGAAAGAGGAAAAGGGGAACAGUCUCAUUUACAAAUUAUAUGUUUUGUUGUUUAGGAACAAAUCAGACUCUAAUCAGUUUACUGAAUAUGACAGAAGUUUAUUCAUGAAGUCCGCCAUAUUUAAAUCAGCAAUCAAACUUCAUCUUUAAAAAGUGCCAUACUACUGGAAUAUAAGUGUAGAGAUGUUAUAUUACAGGUGAGACGAAUCCAUAAAAGAAGACAUGAGAAAAUAUAAUUCAAGCUUGAUAAAUCAUACAAGAUUUUUUUACUUUAAUUGGCUGAGAACAUGAAUUUAAAAUUUGCAGGAUACAUGCAGACAUACAAUCAUUUCCAAAAUGUUAUUUUGGACAUCAGAGUUAAAAGUUAUAUUUCAAAAAUUGAGAUAAUCAUCUUUUACACUAAUUGUUUCAACAAAAGCUUGAAUACUUGAAAGACCAAGAAAUGCUCCUGCCACUUAAUGACUUUAACUAUUGGCUGAUACAUAAUAUAUCAGAAUACAUGACAGAAAUUUGAUCUGGUGAUCCAAGAUUUUCCAAUUUUCCGACAAAUGAUGUAGAAUCUAAAAUCACAGGUGUAAAUGACUGGCGGAAAUGGCCAUUUCACGAAAAGAAACUUCAUUUCUUUUUUUUUUUUUAUAAUGUCAUAAACUCUUUCUUUUUCCUUUCUUUCUUUCUU
rnacentral:misc_RNA from 1 species